rnacentral:lncRNA from 1 species
UUAAUUCAAGUGACUUCAAUUUUAUUUUUUCAUAGAAUCUUCAGAAGGUGGGAGAAGUGUCAGGUAGAAUGUCUCCCCAUCCCUCUUCCCACCAAGCCAAAUCACUCAAGAACCGGGAUCCAGGAAAUGAGUAGUAGUAGACCAUCAGUGGUACCAUUGUGUACAGUUGGUCACAGCACCGUGCCAAUGAGCCAGGGUCUGAGCACUGACUUCUGCAAGGGCCAAUUAAUUGACAUUUGUCCCGAGAACGGAGGCAGCACUCUUAACUGCAAACUGCUUUUUUACAACGCAUCCCACUGUCAGAAGACAAGGUCCUGGCAAGGUGGCUGGUGGAUGAAAACAGGUCUAUCUACACUAACGGAGGGGGUGGGGGGGGAACCCCAAACAAACCAUGUAUGCUACGGAUGGAAGUUAAUGGAAUCUUAUCUGUAAAGGAAAAGCAGUAUAUAUUCUUAGCCUUAUGCUUCAACACGGUUCAAGUCUGAAAUAGUUAAUGACAGUUAACAGCUGACUUGAUCUUGGAACUAGUAACAUCUCACAGCAAUCUACAG